AUAGAGUUAUACGACUGACGGAAGUGGGAUAAACCACAUGAAGUAUAACAAUUUAAAAGCCGACCGUCUGGGCAAAAGCC
rnacentral:ncRNA from 2 species